GUCUACGGCCAUACCACCCUGAACGCGCCGAUCUCGUCUGAUCUCGGAAGCUAAGCAGGGUCGGGCCCGGUUAGUACUUGGAUGGGAGACCGCCUGGGAAUACCGGGUGCUGUAGGCU
ensembl:rRNA 5S_rRNA 5S ribosomal RNA